rnacentral:ribozyme from 13 species
UUUUUUUUUUUUUUUUUUUUUUUUUUUUUUUUUUUUUUUUUGACCCUCACCUGUUGA